AGUGAACGCUGGCGGCGUGCCUAACACAUGCAAGUCGAAGGAAGUGUCGCACGGGUGAGUAUUAUAUAGCUAAUCUGCCCCUUGCUGGGGGACAACAGACAGGAAUGACUGCUUAUACCCCAUAUCAAGGGAUGAGUCUAUAUCGUAUCAGCUAGUCGGUGGGGUAACGGCCUACCGAGGGUAUGACGUGUAACUGGUCUGUGAGGAUGAGCAGUCACAUUGGAAGUGAGACACGGUCCAAACUCAUGGGAGAGGGAGCAGUAGGGUAUAGUGCGCAAUGGGGGAGACUCAGACGGAGCAGCGGCGCGUAGAGGAUGACACUUUGCGGGGCAUAAACUGCUUUUGUUAGGGAAGCGGUACCUAACGAAUAAGCACCGGCUAACUCCGUGCCAGCAGCCGCGGUAAUAC
rnacentral:rRNA from 1 species